rnacentral:rRNA from 1 species
AUUGAACGCUGGCGGCUGCCUUACACAUGCAAGUCGAACGGUAACGCGGGGCAACCUGGCGACGAGUGGCGAACGGGUGAGUAAUAUAUCGGAACGUGCCCAGUUGUGGGGGAUAACUGCUCGAAAGAGCAGCUAAUACCGCAUACGACCUGAGGGUGAAAGCGGGGGAUCGCAAGACCUCGCGCAAUUGGAGCGGCCGAUAUCAGAUUAGGUAGUUGGUGGGGUAAAGGCCUACCAAGCCGACGAUCUGUAGCUGGUCUGAGAGGACGACCAGCCACACUGGGACUGAGACACGGCCCAGACUCCUACGGGAGGCAGCAGUGGGGAAUUUUGGACAAUGGGGGCAACCCUGAUCCAGCCAUGCCGCGUGCGGGAAGAAGGCCUUCGGGUUGUAAACCGCUUUUGUCAGGGAAGAAAAGACUCCUACUAAUACUGGGGGUUCAUGACGGUACCUGAAGAAUAAGCACCGGCUAACUACGUGCCAGCAGCCGCGGUAAUACGUAGGGUGCAAGCGUUAAUCGGAAUUACUGGGCGUAAAGCGUGCGCAGGCGGUUAUGCAAGACAGAUGUGAAAUCCCCGGGCUCAACCUGGGAACUGCAUUUGUGACUGCAUGGCUAGAGUACGGUAGAGGGGGAUGGAAUUCCGCGUGUAGCAGUGAAAUGCG